rnacentral:rRNA from 1 species
GAUGAACGCUGGCGACGUGCCUAAUACAUGCAAGUCGAGCGAACGGACGAGAAGCUUGCUUCUCUGAUGUUAGCGGCGGACGGGUGAGUAACACGUGGAUAACCUACCUAUAAGACUGGGAUAACUUCGGGAAACCGGAGCUAAUACCGGAUAAUAUUUUGAACCGCAUGGUUCAAAAGUAAAAGACGGUCUUGCUGUCACUUAUAGAUGGAUCCGCGCUGCAUUAGCUAGUUGGUAAGGUAACGGCUUACCAAGGCAACGAUGCAUAGCCGACCUGAGAGGGUGAUCGGCCACACUGGAACUGAGACACGGUCCAGACUCCUACGGGAGGCAGCAGUAGGGAAUCUUCCGCAAUGGGCGAAAGCCUGACGGAGCAACGCCGCGUGAGUGAUGAAGGUCUUCGGAUCGUAAAACUCUGUUAUUAGGGAAGAACAUAUGUGUAAGUAACUGUGCACAUCUUGACGGUACCUAAUCAGAAAGCCACGGCUAACUACGUG